UGAAACUUAUAAUGUUUUUUUAUGAUGGGUUUUCAGAGGUGAGAGCAGCAGAUCGCUUUGCCCAAUUCAAUUGUUAUUAUUGUGAAGUUCUGAGAAGUAAAAAAGAUGGAUUACGUAUACGCUCCGGGAAGGAACCAUCUUUUUAUUCCAGGGCCUGUGAAUAUCCCAGAGCAAGUCAUUCGGGCGAUGAACAGAAACAAUGAAGAUUAUCGUUCCCCUGCUAUACCAGCCAUGAUGAAGACCCUUUUGGAGGAUAUUAAGAAAAUUUUCAAGACAACUACAGGGACGACCUUUAUUAUUCCCACUACAGGUACUGGUACAUGGGAAAGUGCGCUUACAAACACAUUAUCUCCUGGUGAUCGGAUUGUAUCAUUUGUGUUGGGGCAAUUCAGUCACCUCUGGAUUACUGCACAGCAACGCCUCAACUUUGAUGUUGAUGUUGUAGAAAGUGAAUGGGGCCAAGGUGCCAAUCUUGACAUCCUGGCAUCAAAACUUGCAGCCGAUACUGCACAUACCAUUAAGGCUGUCUGCAUUGUCCAUAAUGAAACUGCAACAGGAGUUACCAACAAUAUGGCUGCUGUGAGGAAAAUACUUGAUGAUAACAAACAUCCUGCACUGUUUCUUGUUGACGGAGUUUCCUCAGUUUGUGCUCUUGAUUUCCGUAUGGAUGAGUGGGGAAUAGAUGUAGCUUUAACUGGGUCCCAAAAAGCUCUUUCCCUCCCCACUGGUAUGGGCAUUGUUUGUGCUAGCCCUAAGGCACUUGAAGCAUCAAAGACAGCCAAAUCAACACGGGCAUACUUCCGCUGGGAUGACUACCUUAAAAGCUAUGAAUUGGGAACCUACUUUCCAUACACCCCUAACAUCCAACUCUUGUAUGGGCUGCGAGCUUCUUUGGAUCUCAUUUUUGAGGAAGGACUUGAUAAUGUAAUUGCAAGGCAUAGUCGCCUAGGCAAAGCAACGAGGCUUGCUGUUGAGGCAUGGGGUUUAAAGAACUGCGCACAAAAGGAGGAAUGGUAUAGUAACACAGUCACUUGUGUGGUUGUUCCACCGCACAUUGACGGUGCAGAAAUUGUUAAAAGGGCAUGGAAGCGAUACAAUUUAAGCUUAGGCCUUGGCUUGAAUAAAGUAGCUGGAAAGGUUUUCAGAAUCGGACAUCUUGGUCACCUUAAUGAUCUGCAAUUGAUGGGUUGUCUGGCUGGUGUGGAGAUGAUCCUCAAGGACGUGGGAUACCCGAUUAAGCUGGGAAGUGGACUGGCAGCAGCUUCUGAAUAUCUGCAGAAUACCAUUCCUAUGAUCCCUUCUAGGGUUUGAUCCAUCUGCCUGUGAACUGACUGUUCUGUUGUUUUCUUUUCAAACUAUUGUAAAAAGAAUAAACCCCCGGCACCCUCCUGAGGCGAGACUUGCUUAGAAUCCAUACUCAUAUGUAUUGCUUCAUGCAUAAUCCUGUAUUUAAAAUUUCUGUCUAAUAUUAAUGCUGUUCUUUUGCGGAUU